rnacentral:lncRNA from 1 species
CAUCUUUUUAGGCCAGGAAGGGAAGAAUUUCACAUGCAAUUGAAAAGCUGAGAAUUUCUGGAAGCAAAAUGUAGUGAAAUAAGAUGGACUGUAGCCAGGACAGUGGGAUCAGCUCUGCUGCUUUUCUAGUGGCACUCGUUACAUUUUUCAUGACCUGGCAGAGAGGAGUUCUGAAUUUUGCCUCUGCUCUGCAUGACAGAUGCCUCCAAUGCCAUCCCUGGCCAUCAGUGCAAUUCUGAUGUCAAGCUAGAUUGUAGAGGGUGACAAUACUCUCUUGCCCAGCCCCCUACAACUCAGCAAUAGCCUCUUGCUCUUGGAAGGAAUUGCAUGCCAUACAGAAACACCAAUGCUAGUUCUGGAAGCACCUAUUUAAUUCCUGGAGCUGGUCUCAUCAAGAGGUCUCGUUCCCUCUGCUGUCCAAGGAAGUGUCAUGCAUAGGCUCCUGGAAGUUGUCCCUUUAUUGUCCAGGCCUGGAGCUAUAACAGUCCUUGGAUGGCCAGAGGUGCAGAACUGACCAGCCAGCAAACAUGGUUGAAGGGAUGCUUGAGGUGAUAGCUAACGCAGCAGAACAAAUUUCAAACAUUUUCAUUGCUUUCCUAUGUAGAAACAGUUAAAUAAGGAUCCAGAAGCAGAAAGCCAGAAAUGAAAGGCUGGCAGUGGAUCGCCAGAGGUUACAAGAUUUCACCAUUUGAGAAUUUUGAAGAUGAGAUGGGGAAAAACCUCCAAACUACCUGUCAGCUUCACUGGCACCUAGGCCAAAUCAAUUUGGAAGACUUACAUAGAAGUUUUCUCCAGACUUCUUUCCAAAGAUUUUCUUCAGAAUAAUUCAUCUUCAUUCAUUCUCUACUGAGGUAAAUGAAGAAUUCAUUCCCCAUGUUCAUUCAAUCCUGAUCUUUCUCACACUAUUCCUUCAACUGCUCUCGAUCAGGGUUAGAAAUAGACCAGUUUUUCCCCCAAAAUCUCAUUUUGAGCUAGAAAUGGACCCGCGGCUUUGCUGCUCAAGUUUAUGGUAAGUAUGAGUGCGAGUGUUGUGUUGGGACAGUUGUUAGUUUGUGCAGGUAAUAAAUGAGGGGUGUAUGCUGUGGUGAGGGGCUGU